rnacentral:lncRNA from 10 species
AGUUGGGGAGUGAAUUAUAAAGCAUGCUUACAAUCAGGGAGGUCUGGGCUCCUCCAGGGUGCUCCAAUUACUGGAAUGAUUUGGGGUAAUUUUUCUAUUAUCUUAUCUGCGAUCUUGAAGUAACAAUGGGCACACUGUAGGGAGUAUAGGGUUUGGUUUUCUACAGGGUAGAGAAUGUGGGGCACUGUGUGUCCCUGUAAUCCCAGCCACUGGGGAGGCUGCGGUGGGAGGAUCGCUUGAGCCCAGAAGUUUGAAUCCAGCUUGGGUAACACAGCAAGACCUUGUCUUUGUAUGGAUAUACCACAGUUUGUCUAUCCAUUUUCCUAUUGAUGGAUACCUGGGCUGCUUCGAAUUUUUGCUUAUUGUGAGUAAAGCUGUUAUGUAUGUACAGGUUCUCUUGGUAUAUAGUCUAGGUGUGUGAUUGCUAGGCCAUAGAGUAGAUGAAUAUUCCCAUUUAUCAGAGAGUGGCAAUGGGUUUACAAAAUGAUUGUACAAUUUUCAGCAUCCAGCAGCAAUGUGUGAGAGUUCUAGUUUC